rnacentral:sRNA from 1 species
GUCAGGCAUGGCAGCGCAUGCCUAUAAUCCCAGCCACUUGGGAGGCUGAGGCAGGAGGAUCGCAAGUUUGAGAUGAGUUUCAGCAACUUAGCAAGACCCUGCCCA